AUACGAGUUUGAUCUUGGCUCAGAUUGAACGCUGGCGGAAUGCUUUACACAUGCAAGUCGAACGGCAGCACGGGGGCAACCCUGGUGGCGAGUGGCGAACGGGUGAGUAAUACAUCGGAACGUGCCCAGUCGUGGGGGAUAACGUAGCGAAAGCUACGCUAAUACCGCAUGCGAUCUACGGAUGAAAGCGGGGGAUCGCAAGACCUCGCGCGAUUGGAGCGGCCGAUGGCAGAUUAGGUAGUUGGUGGGGUAAAGGCUCACCAAGCCUUCGAUCUGUAGCUGGUCUGAGAGGACGACCAGCCACACUGGGACUGAGACACGGCCCAGACUCCUACGGGAGGCAGCAGUGGGGAAUUUUGGACAAUGGGCGAAAGCCUGAUCCAGCCAUUCCGCGUGCAGGAUGAAGGCCCUCGGGUUGUAAACUGCUUUUGUACGGAACGAAACGGCCUUUUCUAAUACAGAGGGCUAAUGACGGUACCGUAAGAAUAAGCACCGGCUAACUACGUG
rnacentral:rRNA from 1 species